UACGUAGGGUGCAAGCGCUGUCCGGAUUUAUUGGGCGUAAAGCGUCCGCAGGCGGAAGAUCAAGUCUCCUUUUAAACACUCCGGCUUAACUGGAGAGAUGGAGGGGAUACUGAUUUUCUAGAGGGUGGGAGAGGGUACUGGAACUUAUGGUGUAGGGGUGAAAUCCGUUGAUAUCAUAAGGAACGCCAAGGGCGAAGGCAGGUACCUGGAACACUCCUGACGCUCAGGGACGAAAGCUAGGGGAGCAAAUGGGAUUAGAUACCCGCGUA
rnacentral:rRNA from 1 species